UCUGGUCCUUUCCCUCUCUCUUCUCCUUCUGGGACCCGUAUAAUGUGAAUGUUGUUGUGUUUAAUGUUGUCCCAGAGGUCUCUUAGGCUGUGUUCAUUUCUUUUCAUUCUUUUUUCUUUAUUCUGUUCUGCAGCAGUGAAUUCCACCAUUCUGUCUUCCAGGUCACUUAUCCGUUCUUCUACCUCAGUUAUUCUGCUAUUGAUUCCUUCUAGUGUAGUUUUCAUUUCAGUUAUUGUAUUGUUCAUCUCUGUUUGUUUGUUCUUUAAUUCUUCUAGGUCUUUGUUAAACAUUUCUUGCAUCUUCUUGAUCUUUGCCUCCAUUCUUUUUCCGAGGUCCUGGAUCAUCUUCACUAUCAUUAUUCUGAAUUCUUUUUCUGGAAGGUUGCCUAUCUCCACUUCAUUUAGUUGUUUUUCUGGGGUUUUCUCUUGUUCCUUCAUCUGGUACAUAGCCCUCUGCCUUUUCAUCUUGUCUAUCUUUCUGUGAA